rnacentral:ncRNA from 12 species
GAUAGCCAAAAAUUACUAAUGGAUUUAGGGUUGGAUUAUUGAUAUAACGUACAUCACCUCCACCAGGUGCCCAUGUGUCAUAAACUCCCCCAAAAAACAUAGCUUUUAUAACUAGCAAGAAAGCUCCAAUUCCUAAUAAAAUUAAAUGAAUACCUAAAAUAGUUGUCAUUUUAUUUUUAUCUCUCCA